rnacentral:lncRNA from 1 species
UUCGGAUAAUAUCGGAUUUAAUUUCGAAACGUUUAAUAUUUUUAUUUAUAUUUGUUAGUUUAUCAAGAGUAUAGCGAGCCGUUAGACCUACGAACGGAUUCGGACGAAGCGGAUUACACGCUGCCGACAGACGAAACCUAUUACAGUCAACCCUGCGACCUACCUCCCGACCAGGAUGACAACGGUGAGUGAGUUCUUUCGGAAAUCUCCACUCGGAUCCCGACACUCGUGUUUCAACCGAUAAUAUGCGCCCCGAUUCAUUAUUCUCUUCCCAUUUGGCCUUUUUAGUCUCCAUCACUAUUCACGCUUUAGUAUACGCAUUUCGCGUGUUAUUAUUAUUAUUUUUUUUCCUAAGAAAGUUUCUAUUGUUUAAUAGCGAAAUUCGCUCCGUUGAGUCGCGCGACGUCUCGCGCGCGACUGAGCGAAGACAUAAAAGUAGUAUUGUGCGAUAUUGGCGGUAAAUUCGAAAGUCGCGUUGGCUUUGUGGCGAUUUCGAUCCGCGUACGGAACGAUCCUUGGUAGUGAAGACGAGAGUUGGCAGGGAUUUAAAGGGUUAACGAAGGAUGGGGACUCCCUGCGCGUCCGGUCGCCUCGACGAAUUUCGCUUUAUCCUUAACGACCGUAAUUUAUGUUCUAUUAAGUUUCGGUUUUCUCCCGAUUAACUUCGCAUUGGGGCGCUCCUUUCGAAUAACGUUACUAAAGUUAAUUGCCGAUUAUUCUCGUUUUUUUUUUUUAUUUGGCGUCACGAAUUUUCGUAACGACACAGAAAAAAAAAGGCGAAUUAGAAUUAAUGGCAAUGUAAUUGGAAUUUUCGUCGUUGAUAAUUGUGUAUUCUCGCGAUAUAAAUUUCAGACGUAUAUCUCGUGAAAUAAUAAUAAUAUUCCGCCGGGGACACAUAUACGAAUUCUUUUUGAACACAUGCCGUUUCUCUAGGUAAUUCGGAUCAGACAUCAUUCUCUGUUGCCUGGAUCGUUCCGGCCAACCCCGUUGAGAGUCGGAUCUCUCUAUAAUCCUAAAAUAGAAACCGACGUAUAACCAAACUGUGUAGAUCCUGGCACAGAAAUCUGUUUCGUCGUAAAUCCUUCCGUCGGGAAUGUUGUCAGGGUUUUCCAAAAAAAAAAAA